GCCAGCCCGCUCAGAACUAAGGAAUUGACGGGGCCCGCACAAGCGGAGGAGCAUGUGGUUUAAUCGAUGAUACGCGAGGAACCUUACCUGGGCUCGAACGUAAGAUGACUGUAGGUGAAAGCUUACAUCUCUUCGGAGCAUUUUACGAGGUGCUGCAUGGUUGUCGUCAGCUCGUGCCGUGAGGUGUCGGGUUAAGUCCCAUAACGAGCGCAACCCCUACCUUUAGUUGCCAUCAGGUAAUGCUGGGGACUCUAAAGGAACUGCCUACGCAAGUAGUGAGGAAGGCGGGGAUGACGUCAAAUCAGCACGGCCCUUACGUCCAGGGCUACACACGUGCUACAAUGGCCGAUACAGAGGGCAGCUACCUGGUGACAGGAUGCAAAUCUCCAAAGUCGGUCUCAGUUCGGAUCGGAGUCUGCAACCCGACUCCGUGAAGUUGGAUUCGCUAGUAAUCGCGCAUCAGCCAUGGCGCGGUGAAUACGUUCCCGGGCCUU
rnacentral:rRNA from 1 species